rnacentral:rRNA from 1 species
GACGAACGCUGGCGGCGUGCUUAACACAUGCAAGUCGAGCGGUAAGGCCCUUUCGGGGUACGACGAGCGGCGAACGGGUGAGUAACACGUGGGUGACCUGCCCUUACGCUCUGGGAUAAGCCUGGGAAACUGGGUCUAAUACCGGAUAUGACUCCAUGACGCAUGUUGUGGGGUGGAAAGCCUUGUGCGGCUAGGGAUGGGCCUGCGGCCUAUCAGCUUGUUGGUGGGGUGAUGGCCUACCAAGGCGACGACGGGUAGCCGGCCUGAGAGGGCGACCGGCCACACUGGGACUGAGACACGGCCCAGACUCCUACGGGAGGCAGCAGUGGGGAAUCUUGCGCAAUGGGCGAAAGCCUGACGCAGCGAC